ACUGUUAGACUUGAAUUAUUAGGAAGUAACUAGAAUAUGUAGUGUAGCGGUGAAAUGCUUAGAGAUUACAUGGAAUACCAAUUGCGAAGGCAGGUUACUACUAAUUGAUUGACGCUGAUGGACGAAAGCGUGGGUAGCGAACAGGAUUAGAUACCCUGGUAGUCCACGCCGUAAACGAUGGAUACUAGCUGUUGGAAGCAAUUUCAGUGGCUAAGCGAAAGUGAUAAGUAUCCCACCUGGGGAGUACGUUCGCAAGAAUGAAACUCAAAGGAAUUGACGGGGGCCCGCACAAGCGGUGGAGCAUGUGGUUUAAUUCGAUGAUACGCGAGGAACCUUACCAAGGCUUAAAUGUAGAUUGACCGGUUUGGAAACAGAUCUUUCGCAAGACAAUUUACAAGGUGCUGCAUGGUUGUCGUCAGCUCGUGCCGUGAGGUGUCAGGUUAAGUCCUAUAACGAGCGCAACCCCUGUUGUUAGUUGCCAGCGAGUCAAGUCGGGAACUCUAACAAGACUGCCAGUGCAAACUGUGAGGAAGGUGGGGAUGACGUCAAAUCAUCACGGCCCUUACGCCUUGGGCUACACACGUGCUACAAUGGCCGGUACAGAGAGCAGCCACUGGGCGACCAGGAGCGAAUCUAUUAAACCGGUCACAGUUCGGAUCGGAGUCUGCAACUCGACUCC
rnacentral:rRNA from 1 species